rnacentral:rRNA from 1 species
UGAGGAAUAUUGGUCAAUGGGCGAGAGCCUGAACCAGCCAAGUAGCGUGCAGGAUGACGGCCCUAUGGGUUGUAAACUGCUUUUGUAUGGGGAUAAAGUCAAUCACGUGUGAUUGUUUGCAGGUACCAUACGAAUAAGGACCGGCUAAUUCCGUGCCAGCAGCCGCGGUAAUACGGAAGGUCCGGGCGUUAUCCGGAUUUAUUGGGUUUAAAGGGAGCGUAGGCUGGAGAUUAAGUGUGUUGUGAAAUGUAGACGCUCAACGUCUGACUUGCAGCGCAUACUGGUUUCCUUGAGUACGCACAACGUUGGCGGAAUUCGUCGUGUAGCGGUGAAAUGCUUAGAUAUGACGAAGAACUCCGAUUGCGAAGGCAGCUGACGGGAGCGCAACUGACGCUGAAGCUCGAAGGUGCGGGUAUCGAACAGGAUUAGAUACCCUGGUAGUCCGCACAGUAAACGAUGGAUGCCCGCUGUUGGUACUUGGUAUCAGCGGCUAAGCGAAAGCAUUAAGCAUCCCACCUGGGGAGUACGCCGGCNACGGU